AACGCACGAGACCUGCGGACCUGCGGAAGGAUCAUUACAGGACUCGCAAGACUCCUACAACCCUGUGAACUUAACUAUAAGCACGUUGCUUCGGCGGGUGUCUCGGCGAGGGUUCUCCCUCCCCGGGGCGCUAAGCCCGCCGGCAGCCUACUAUACUCUGUCUCUUUGCGUUGGCAUCUCGAGUACAAACAAACAAGUUAAAACUUUUAGCAACGGAUCUCUAGAUCGGAAGAGCACACG
rnacentral:misc_RNA from 1 species